rnacentral:rRNA from 1 species
UACGUAGGGGCCUAGCGUUGUCCGGAUUUAUUGGGCGUAAAGAGCUCGUAGGCGGUUUGGUGAGUCAGCUGUGAAAUCUCCACGCUCAACGUGGAGGGGUCAGCUGAUACUGCUGUGACUUGAGUCCGGUAGGGGAGUGUGGAAUUCCCGGUGUAGCGGUGAAAUGCGCAGAUAUCGGGAGGAACACCAGUAGCGAAGGCGGCACUCUGGGCCGGUACUGACGCUGAGGAGCGAAAGCGUGGGGAGCAAACAGG